rnacentral:lncRNA from 1 species
GCAUGCAAAAGGCCCAGACAGGCAAGUGGUGGUCAUGUGUCUUACCCUAUGUCCUAUUUAAAAUUAUAUGAAAUUAAAGUUUAUAUCUACCUUACUUUACCCUCCCUGCCCUCCUGGUGCAGAUCAUUUAUGCGUUUUCUGAUUAUAGCCAUUCUCAGCAUCCUGAUUCCCAUCAUAGAACAUAAUAUUCAGAGGGGAGAAUUUACUGUGCUUUUCUACAGAUUUCUCUUACCUCUGGAUAAUGAUUUCCUUGAAGAGAGGAACUGUAUUAUGCUCAUUAUUUACUCCAGCUCCAACAGUCAGCCUAAUGCAUGAUGUAUAAUCAAUACAGGAUCCCUGCAGGACUGCCUGAGACAAAAAGAGAAGCAUGCAAAGAGAGUGCCCCUGAGGCUGGAGCAUUCCAGCAGGGCUGUCUUUCCCUGCUUAUCCCUUUCAGGGGGACAGAGGUGACAAAGGGGAAAGUGCAUAACAUCUUUAGAAAGGCCUUUAUUCUGCUUAGGUGGCUCCUUCACCUGCUCCCUCUGCAUGUAUGAGCAGUAGGGAAAAUUUUUACAAUUAUCUGUAGAUUUGUUUUGACAAAUGAUUGCAUUGCAUGAAUAGGAAACCUCUUACUUGAUAAGCUGUCUUAGGCUGAAAGGGUCUUUAUUUAAAGCGGGAUUGUCAUCUUCCAUUGUGUGAUGGGUUCGUGUUUAGAAUAUCCCCAUGGAAUUGAACAAAAUGACCUUGGCCUUUCACCAGCCUAGCCUUAGGUGGUUUGAUUUUUUUUUUCUGUUUUUUUCCCCCACUUCAUUUUGCUUUUCUUUUGUGUCCCAGUAAGUCUUUUGAAAAGGUUCCUUUAUAUUUUUCCACUUUCUGUACCAAAUGCAAAAGUGAAGCAGCAGUUCCC